AGCAGAGUGGCCUAGUGGAUAGAGCACAGGCCUGGGAGUCAGAAGGACCUGGGUUCUAAUCCCAGCUCUGCCA
rnacentral:tRNA from 1 species